rnacentral:rRNA from 1 species
GACAGAGGGGGCAAGCGUUGCUCGGAAUUACUGGGCGUAAAGGGCGCGUAGGCGGGAUGGCAAGUCGGUCGUGAAAUCCUUCGGCUCAACCGAAGAACGUCGAUCGAUACUGCUGUUCUUGAGGGUUGCAGAGGAGACUGGAAUUCCCGGUGUAGCGGUGAAAUGUGUAGAGAUCGGGAGGAACACCGGUGGCGAAGGCGGGUCUCUGGGCAAUUCCUGACGCUGAGACGCGAAAGCGUGGGGAGCAAACAGGG